CUUGCGGAACGAAUCACGCGGAAGCUGCCGCCAGUUAGCCGCACUGAAGGCAGAGACGCUUCAGGCGGUGGCGGCAAUGGUCUGCGGACAGGAGGACCCAACCAGAUGAUGUGUUGCCGCGGCGGAACCAUGCGGCGGAAAAUGCCAAAGGGGAAGCAAAAUUAGUGACAAUUACGGCGGCAUCUCUUUGCUGUCGGUCGGAGCUGUGAGCAAAAAGUGGCAAAUUCUCGAGCUGUGGCCGUGGCGCCACUUUCUUCAUUUCUUGGCUCGACCGCUGCCAUCCGGUGGAGAAAGUGCGAACUAAGAGGCCACAGUGUGCGAUGAAGUGCGAAGGAGUGUGACUCUGGUAGAAGCGGUGGUGUUGUUAUCUCUCGCGCGAGGUUGUGCAAGGAAGAAAAAAGGAACCCAAGAUCUUGACGGGGUAGAGCUGGAUGCAGAUAACGGCUGGCCGAGACUGGCUGGCCUGGUGCGCGUAGUGAAAGCGGGCAAUGUCGACCUGAUAAACACGGACCGAUAGUGAGCGUUGCAAGCGUUGUGCGUUUUUGGGGGGCACGCGAGGGGCCGUUAGAGGUACUCCCACCAAUGAUGACGAUGGUGAUGGCAGAGAGUUUUGCUGAUACCCCAAACGGUCAAACGACCACCACGCGAGAGUGAAUAAAACUUGUUAAUGUGAGAGAAACAGUUUGGUGGCGACUUUCGGCUUUGGAAGCAAGGUGGAAAACAAGGAAAAGACAUUCGCGCCGUGUGGACGGUUUCUGGUUGGAGCCAGCUCGCGUCAAGUUCUGAUCCCAAAUCACACAAGAGGAGACCCCUCUCAGCAGCAGCAGUGGUGUGGAUCGCCGUGUGGUGGAGCCUUCCGCGCAGUUAAUAUCGUUUUUGCUCUGGCAGUAGCUCCAUGGACCGCAGCAAGUGUGGACCGCGACGCUGCACCAAGUAAUACCACCAAUAACAACAACGUCAUCAUCAGAAAAGAGAAAAAAAAAGUGUUUGAACAACGAGUUAGAGAAAAGCUCCGCACGAAUAAGAAAAAUGUUACCCAAAAGCGAACACCACGAACAAGUCAAGUCGGAGGGAACUUUGGGAACUCUGGGCAACGUGAAAAUUUGUAGUUUUUUUUCGGUGGACAUUUGCGCGCAAACAUCAUCAAAGCCGUGAUCGAAGAAGUGACCGUAGGGAAAAAAUUGAAACAAAACAAAAGUCGCACGAAAACAAGUGAUACAUAGUGGACCACCCUGUGGGAUUAUUCAAAGGUCAAACACAGUGACAUAAAGCCGAUGGUUCCUAUUACUGCGUGAAACGAUAAUAAAAUGGAAGCAACAGGACGAACAGGAAUAGCACCCUCUUUUGGGAUUAGAGUCAAUUUAAGCCAAACAGAGCUUAAAACAAGACAUCAAUCAUCUUUAUUCCAGGAGUUACGUGAGAAAUCUAUCUGGUUCUUUGGCACUUCUGAUGCUAAUUGGAAUUGAACAACAACAACAAAUCAGAUAAGUUAAGCGUGCCGUGGCCUUGAGAAUGAAUUAGAGAGUAGUUUAUCCUAGCAAUAUUUAUGAACAACGCCGAUUAUUGAAGGAGACUGUCGGAUAAAAGCCGACAGUUAUCGACACGUUCAUUGUGUAGGGUUUGUUCGUUGCACCGAAUUGCUUCGAUGGAAUGUGUGUUUUGUAGCAUAAAAUUCGCAGCCAUUAACACUUUAAGGACCGGGAAGAAAUAUGUAAGACCGCACGUUUUGACUCGUGUGGAGUUGCUUGAUCUGCUUACAAGUUUUUAAGAGGCUUUAAACUUUGCAGUUCAUUCGCCUCUAUGUGUGAAGUUAGCGGAUGAAGGUUCAGCGGAUACAAGUUUUUGUUGCGUACAAGUUUCUGUUCAAUGUUUUGAAAAGUUAUAGACUGAAACGUGAGCAUGGGUCAAUAUAGGAAAAUAUACAGAAUUUUGAAAAUCAAAAAAAGUUGUUCGAAUAGAGUUAUCGAAGUUAUUCGAUAGAGAAAUAUUUCACCUAUCUUCCAGCCACAAUUUGAUUAAUCGGAAAAGGGUCUGAGAAAAGUUAUAGGCCAAGUUGUAUGGGUCAACCGCGAGUAAUCGGUUUUCUACCUUACUAACCAUAGAAUUAGGAAAUUGUUUAUAUAUACUUAUAAAAAUAUAGCUAAGAAUUCGGCUCCUUAAAACCUAGUAACUGAGCCUAAAAAUAAACGAAUUAAUAAAAAAAUAAAUUGUAUGGGAGAAAUGAAUUAUUUUGAAAGAAAAUUGAAAAAAGUUAUUUGAAAGGACCGAAAACACAUUCUCGAGAUAGUACUCAUUCGAUAAAGAAUAUUUUUAUUUAUCUUUAGCCAAAUUUUCAUUGGUCAGAAAAGGGUAUGACAAAAGUUAUUGGCCAAACCGUUCACGAGUUGUACGGGGGAAAGGGUCUGGCUGGGUAAGAAAGUGAAAAGUAAAAAGGAAGUAAAAAAUUUAAUUGUAUAGAAAUUUUGACAUUUUUUCGAAUCCCUAUCCAUAGGAUCUAUGGUAAUGAACGUACCUUUCAAUUUUUAGCACGCCAUUCUCAAUAGCUUUGAGACAAAACAUUGAAAAAAAAAUACUGAAAGUUCAUCUUACUAUGAUA